UUCGCGGCGCGGCGGACAUGGCGGUGGAGUUCUGAGCUCGUCGUGUCCCGGCCUCCAGUGGCGGCAGCGACAGCGGCAGCGACGGCAGCGACGGCAGCCGCAGCGGGAGGCGGAGGCGGAGCGGGAGCCAUUGAGAUGAGGAGGCGCCGCGCGCGCCUGUAGCUCGCAGCUCUUGUAUAAACUGGAUUUUGAAGCAAUUCAAACUACUGGAGAUCUGCUAUAUUACAAUAUCACAAUUGGAAAGAAGCAGGUUUUCAAAUAAUGGAAGAGUCUAAGAUCUCUAAAAAUGAAAAUCAUGAACCAAAGAAGAAUGCUUGGGCCCUUUCUGAAGAAAGCAGAACAGUUAGAGUUGUAACUAAUCAGACUUUGAAAGCCAGAAAUGAUAAAUCCAUAAAAGAAAUUGGGACCAGCUCUCCAAAUAGGAAUAGUAGUAAAAAAAAUAAGCAAAAUGAUAUUUGUAUAGAAAAAACAGAAGUUAAAUCAUGUAAAGUAAACGCUGCCAGUGUUUCAGACCCUAAAGAUUUGGGGUUAGUCCUUCGAGAUCAAAGUCAUUGCAAAACAAAAAAGUUACCUAAUUCACCUGUCAGAGCAGAAAAGGUACCUGUUUCACUGGCUAAAGUAGAAAAGGCAUCUAAUUUACAGACAAAGGCAGAAAAAUCACCAAAGUCACAUAAUUCACCGGUGAAAACAGAAAAGGCACCCAGUUCACAGACAGUGAUAGCAGAUAAGGCACUUAGUUCACAGAAGAAGGCAGAAAAAGCACCUAGUUCUCAGAUGAGAUCAGAAAAGGUUUCUAGUUCACCAGCAGAAGCAGAGAAGGUGCCUAGUUUACUGCUGAAAGAAAACCUGAGACAGACAGAAUUACAACAGAUAGGGAAAAGAAUCCCAAGCUCCUUGACUUCUCUGGACAAAGUGAAUAUUGAUGUUGUAGAGGGAGAAAGAUCUACUCUGGAAAACUUACCACAAUCUCAGAAGCAACAAACAUCUACAGAUAAUACUGGUGAAUCUGAUGAUAGUGCCUCAGGAAUUGAAGACAUAUCAGAUGAUUUGAGUAAAAUGAAGAAUGAUGAAUCUAAUAAAGAAAAUGCUUCAGAGAUGGACUAUUUAGAAAAUGCCACUGUGAUAGAUGAAUCUACAUUGACACCUGAGCAGAGGCUAGGCUUAAAACAAGCAGAAGAACGCUUAGAAAGAGAUCACAUCUUUCGACUUGAAAAACGCUCACCAGAAUAUACCAAUUGUCGGUAUCUAUGCAAACUUUGCUUAAUUCACAUUGAAAAUAUCCAGGGAGCUCAUAAACAUAUAAAGGAAAAACGACAUAAGAAAAACAUUUUGGAAAAACAGGAAGAAAGUGAACUUCGUUCUCUGCCACCUCCUUCUCCUGCCCACUUGGCAGCAUUAAGUGUUGCAGUUACUGAAUUAGCAAAAGAACAAGGAAUAACAGAUGAUGACCUCAGAGUCCGACAGGAAAUUGUGGAGGAAAUGUCAAAGGUUAUAACAACAUUUUUACCAGAGUGUUCACUUAGGUUGUAUGGCUCAUCUCUGACUAAGUUUGCUCUGAAAAGUAGUGAUGUUAAUAUAGAUAUAAAAUUUCCUCCCAAGAUGAAUCAUCCAGAUCUUCUGAUACAAGUGCUUGGGAUUUUAAAAAAAAGUGUGUUAUAUAUAGAUGUGGAAUCUGAUUUUCACGCUAAAGUUCCUGUUGUGGUGUGCAAAGAUCGGAAAAGUGACUUACUUUGUAGAGUGAGUGCAGGAAAUGAUAUGGCAUGCCUCACUACUGAUUUGCUUGCUGCUCUUGGCAAAACAGAACCUGUCUUUAUUCCCUUGGUGUUAGCCUUUCGCUAUUGGGCUAAGUUGUGCUAUAUUGACUCCCAGACUGAUGGUGGAAUUCCUUCUUACUGUUUUGCAUUAAUGGUGAUGUUUUUUCUACAACAAAGAAAACCACCUCUGCUUCCUUGUUUACUUGGAAGUUGGAUCGAAGGCUUUGACCCAAAAAGAAUGGAUGACUUUCAGCUGAAGGGCAUAGUAGAAGACAAGUUUGUGAAGUGGGAAUAUAAUCCAAGUAGUGCAACUGAGAAAACCUCAGUUGCUGAGGAAAACAAAGCUAAGGCAGAGCAACUAAAAGAUGAUACCAAGAAGACAGAAAUGGACAACCAAAGCAGUGCCAUGAAGGGAAAACAUGGCAAAUCUCCUUUAACAUUAGAAGCACCAAAUCAGGUAUCUCUGGGACAGUUAUGGUUAGAGCUGCUAAAAUUUUACACACUGGAUUUUGCUUUGGAAGAAUAUGUCAUAUGUGUACGGAUAAAAGAUAUUUUAACAAGAGAAAACAAAAACUGGCCUAAAAGGCGAAUUGCCAUUGAAGAUCCAUUUUCAGUCAAGAGGAAUGUUGCACGGAGUUUAAACAGCCAGCUUGUUUAUGAAUAUGUUGUGGAGAGAUUCAGGGCAGCUUAUCGAUACUUUGCCUGUCCUCAGAAGAAGGGUGCAGAGAAAUCGACAGCAGAUUCUGUGAAAAAAGAGAAGGGGAAAAUAAGUAAUAAGAAACUAAUGAAGUCUGAGAAUAUGACAUCUAAUUGUUGCAUUCAACUUGGGGAAAGCACAGAAAAAGUAAAUGCAGAAAGAGGUCAACCUGAAAAACAUCAUGAAAUGAAAUGUACAUCACAGAGAUGUAUUACUGAAGAUGAUAGUUUGUUGGUAAAUGAACUAGUUUUGGCUGAACAUGGACAGGAAUCUUCAUCUCUUUCUGCCAAUGAAGGCAGUGAAUUAGAACCAAAAUCAAUUAAGAAACAAGAUGAUUUAGCACCUUCUGAAGCUUGUUCAAACAAGGAGCUCAGCCAGUGUAAUUGCACUGAUUAUAAAUUCUCUGACCUAAAUGAAUCUGUUGGUACAGACUGCAGGUCACAUUUAGAAACAGAGAAUUCACAUCAGAUUGUGUGCACCGACACAUCUGCUACCUCUUGCAACUGCAAAGCCAGAGAAGAUGCUUCUGACCUUAAUGAUGAUGAUAACCACCCCACCCAGGAAUUACAUUAUGUGUUUGAUAAGUUUAUUUUAACAUCUGGCAAGCCACCAACUAUAGUAUGCAGCAUCUGCAAAAAGGAUGGCCAUUCAAAAAAUGAUUGCCCGGAGGAUUUCAGGAAAAUUGAUCUAAAACCUCUGCCACCAAUGACAAGUAGAUUUCGGGAAAUACUUGAUUUAGUGUGUAAAAGAUGUUUUGAUGAGUUAUCACCACCUUUCUCUGAACAACACAACAGGGAGCAAAUUUUAAUCAGCUUGGAAAAGUUUAUUCAAAAAGAAUAUGAUGAAAAGGCAAGACUGUGUUUAUUUGGCUCUUCUAAGAAUGGAUUUGGAUUUCGGGAUAGCGAUCUGGAUAUUUGUAUGACCCUGGAAGGCCACGAAAAUGCAGAGAAAUUAAAUUGUAAGGAAAUAAUUGAAAAUUUGGCAAAAAUUCUUAAGAGACAUCCAGGUUUAAGAAACAUUUUGCCUAUAACCACUGCCAAAGUGCCUAUAGUAAAAUUUGAACACAGACGAAGUGGUUUAGAAGGAGAUAUCAGUUUGUAUAAUACAUUGGCUCAACAUAACACAAGAAUGUUGGCUACUUAUGCAGCUAUUGAUCCCAGAGUGCAGUACUUGGGAUAUACUAUGAAAGUGUUUGCAAAGCGAUGUGAUAUUGGCGACGCUUCCAGGGGAAGUUUAUCUUCAUAUGCUUAUAUCCUUAUGGUGCUGUACUUUCUACAGCAGAGAAAACCACCUGUUAUCCCAGUUCUACAAGAGAUCUUUGAUGGAAAACAGAUUCCACAGAGAAUGGUUGAUGGAUGGAAUGCUUUUUUCUUUGAUAAAACAGAAGAACUGAAAAAGCGUUUACCUUCACUUGGAAAGAACACGGAAACACUAGGAGAGCUUUGGUUGGGAUUGCUUCGCUUCUAUACUGAAGAGUUUGAUUUUAAGGAAUAUGUAAUUAGCAUUCGGCAGAAAAAGCUGUUAACAACUUUUGAGAAGCAGUGGACGUCCAAAUGCAUUGCAAUUGAAGACCCUUUUGACUUGAAUCAUAAUCUUGGUGCUGGAGUUUCUAGAAAAAUGACCAAUUUCAUCAUGAAGGCAUUUAUCAAUGGAAGGAAACUUUUUGGUACUCCCUUUUAUCCACUCCUUGGCAGAGAAGCUGAGUACUUCUUUGAUUCUAGAGUGUUAACAGAUGGAGAACUGGCUCCCAAUGAUCGAUGUUGCCGUGUUUGUGGAAAAAUAGGCCACUACAUGAAAGACUGCCCUAAAAGGAGAAGCAGUUUACUGUUUAGAGUAAAGAAGAAAGACAGUGAAGAAGAGAAGGAAGGGAAUGAAGAGGAGAAAGACUCCCGAGACGUUGAUUCCCGAGACCUCCAUGAUACUAGAGACUUCAGAGACUCCCGAGACCUCAGAUGUUUUAUAUGUGGAGAUGCAGGGCAUGUACGAAGAGAGUGUCCAGAGGUCAAGCUGGCCCGUCAGAGGAAUAGCAGUGUGGCAGCAGCCCAGCUGGUCCGCAACCUUGUAAAUGCCCAACAAGUGGCUAGUUCAUCCCAGCAACAAGGUGAUCAGUCCCUAAGGACUAGACAGUCCUCGGAAUGUUCUGAUUCACCAUCUUAUUCUCCCCAACCCCCACCAUUUCCACAGAACUCUUCCCAGUCCGCUGCCAUUACCCAGCCUGCAUCCCAACCAGGAUCCCAAUCCAAGCUUGGCCCACCUCAGCAAGGAGCCCAGCCCCCCCAUCAAGUCCAGAUGCCGAUAUAUAACUUUCCCCAGUCACCACCAACUCAGUAUUCUCCCAUGCACAGUAUGGGAUUGUUGCCAAUGCAUCCCCUCCAGAUCCCUGCCCCAUCCUGGCCUAUCCAUGGCCCAGUGAUCCACUCUGCACCAGGCAGUGCCCCCAGCAAUAUUGGCCUGAAUGAUCCCAGCAUCAUCUUUGCACAACCUGCUGCCAGACCUGUGGCGAUCCCUAGCUCCUCUCAUGAUGGACACUGGCCUCGUACUGUGGCUCCAAAUUCCCUGGUGAACAAUGGUGCAGUGGGGAAUUCGGAGCCAGGCUUUCCAGGACUAAAUCCUCCAAUUCCUUGGGAACAUGCACCACGUCCCCAUUUCCCACUUGUCCCAGCUUCGUGGCCUUAUGGUUUGCAUCAAAACUUCAUGCAUCAGGGAAAUGCCAGAUUUCAGCCCAACAAACCUUUCUACACUCAAGCUGGUCUACCGAUGCACAGCAACCAGCCAAUCCUGCUGUCUCAAGGGUAUCCGUACCUCAAUGUCAGUUCCAUUCAGCAGAAAAAGUGACAUUUAAUGGAAAGCAAAACAAAUCAGAACCUUGUAGUGCCAAAAACUUUUUAAAAGAUAUGCAUUACUUAAAAUAGGAGACUUCCUGGGCUUUUGCCAUAUUUUCCAACAUGGAAGAUGCUUGAAAUCUAUUGCAGGAGGUUGAGGGGUUUCCUGCUAUAUUUACAGCCCUGAAAAGGCAUGGAGCUGCACUUCUUGGAUAUACUUAUUAUUUUUCAGUGGGACUACUACAUAAGUAUGCAUGAGAAAGCUGCAAUUUUGGAGGCAGCAUGAGGCAACAGGAAGAGCUAAAAUAUGGAGACCUGGGUUCAAAUUCCCAUUCUAUCACUUACUUACUGUGGGAAUUUGUGAUGUAUUAUUCAACUUUCAGAGUCUAUUAUAGCAACUGCAAAACUAAGAUAGAAACUAGGUACCUCACAUGAUUAAGAGUCAAAUGAGAUACCAAAUUUAACAGAAAAUGUAACAUAUAUUUACUAACAAUAAAAGAAUACAUACAGGCAUGAAUAUAUAAAUUAUUGAUAGGCAACAGAAUGUUGUCCUGGAAAAAAUUCCAAGUCAUCUUGUUUCAAAUUCUGAUUCCAUUACUUACUAACUU